CCUACGGGGGGCUGCAGUGGGGAAUAUUGGACAAUGGGGGGAACCCUGAUCCAGCCAUGCCGCGUGUGUGAAGAAGGCCCUCGGGUUGUAAAGCACUUUCAGUGAGGAAGAACGCCUGGUGGUUAAUACCCAUCAGGAAAGACAUCACUCACAGAAGAAGCACCGGCUAACUCCGUGCCAGCAGCCGCGGUAAUACGGAGGGUGGAGCGUUAAUCGGAAUUACUGGGCGUAAAGCGCGCGUAGGUGGCUUGAUAAGCCGGUUGUGAAAGCCCCGGGCUCAACCUGGGAACGGCAUCCGGAACUGUCAAGCUAGAGUGCAGGAGAGGAAGGUAGAAUUCCCGGUGUAGCGGUGAAAUGCGUAGAGAUCGGGAGGAAUACCAGUGGCGAAGGCGGCCUUCUGGACUGACACUGACACUGAGGUGCGAAAGCGUGGGUAGCAAACAGGAUUAGAUACCCGUGUAGUC
rnacentral:rRNA from 1 species